CCGCAAUUAUACAGCGAAACUGCGAAUGGCUCAUUAUAUAAGUUAUCCGUUUAUUGAUAGUACCUUACUACUUGGGAUAACCGUGGUAAUUCUAGAGCUAAUACAUGCUAAAAACCCCGACUUCGGAANGGGUGUAUUUAUUAGAUUAAAAACCAAUGCCCUUCGGGGCUCACUGGUGAUUCAUAAUAACUUCUCGAAUCGCAUGGCCUUGCGCCGGCGAUGGUUCAUUCAAAUUUCUUCCCUAUCAACUUUCGAUGCUAGAGUAGUGUUCUAGCAUGGUUACAAC
rnacentral:rRNA from 1 species